rnacentral:rRNA from 1 species
ACGGUCAUAUCACAUAGAAACACCGAAUCUCGUACUAUCAGCGAAGUUAAGCAACGUGGAGGCUGGGUCAGUAUCGGGAUGGCUGACCUUUUGGGAAUAUCAGGUGCUGUAA